rnacentral:rRNA from 1 species
UAGAGUUUGAUCCUGGCUCAGAAUCAACGCUGGCGGCAUGCCUAACACAUGCAAGUCGAACGCGGUUUCCCCGCAAGGGGAAACUGAGUGGCGAACGGGUGAGUAACGCGUGGGUGACCUACCUUCGAGUGGGGGAUAACGUCCCGAAAGGGACGCUAAUACCGCAUGACAUCCUGCCCUUGAACGGGUGGAGAUCAAAGCUGGGGAUCGCAAGACCCGGCGCUUGAAGAGGGGCCCGCGUCCGAUUAGCUAGUUGGUGAGGUAACGGCUCACCAAGGCGACGAUCGGUAUCCGGCCUGAGAGGGCGGACGGACACACUGGGACUGAGACACGGCCCAGACUCCUACGGGAGGCAGCAGUGGGGAAUUGUUCACAAUGGGCGCAAGCCUGAUGACGCAAUGCCGCGUGGAGGAUGAAGGUCUUCGGAUUGUAAACUCCUGUUGCCAGGGACGAAUGGCUCCGACCUAACACGUCGGAGAAUGACGGUACCUGGUGAGGAAGCCCCAGCUAACUCUGUGCCAGCAGCCCCGGUCAA